AAUCCAUGGUUAGGAAAAUUUUUUAGAAACCUUUUGAAUCUUUCCCAUGCGUCACGGAGUGUUUCAGAUUCUCCUUGAUCAAAAUUUGUACACAUAAUAUUGAGUUU